rnacentral:lncRNA from 10 species
AUGAGACACUGUGCCCGGCCACUUUCUAAGCUUUGUGAAGAGUGGGUUGAUGGAACAGCCAGGUAGAUGUGGGUUCAGAUCUCUGCUUCUGUCCUGCUGUGCCACGUGCUGGGGCAGACUCGGGCAGAGAGUGGACAGCUGCAUGGUGCCUGCUGCUAGCCAUUUCUAUGUAAAACCAGAUUUCUGGUCCCUUCCUGGAGGCCAAUUCUAGGUACUUGGGUGGGCCUGGGAACCUGUGAACCAAGUAAACUGACUUAGACACUCCCCACCCCGCCAGGCCUGUCCUAGCAGCCCCACACAAUACGCUCAUGUCCUGUCCCCAAACACCGCCAUCCUCAAACACGUGCUCUGUUUCCAGGCUGGGCUGGGAUCAGAUGGGAAGCGGAAGCUCAUCAUGACCAGAAACUGUUUCCCUAUGGAGAGCACUUGGAGAUGGCAAUGCUGAACCUCACACUGUAGGACUCAUACACGACUCCAACGGGAUUGUUAGAAUCAAAUCACUCUCGUGGGAAGAAUUUUUAUAUGGGAAAGCGGAUAAAACUUUCAUUGGACUGGAAUGUUUGGAGAAUGUUAAAUUCCAAAUCAGGAACCACAAUCUGCCCUCUAAUAAGACAUCGGCUAUCUAAGCAUGUGGGUGCCCCCUUUCUGCCAGCAGUUCUGGUUCUUAAGAAAAUCACCAUAAAUCAGACAUGAAAAUUCUGGCUCCAAAAAUAGCAUUUUCUUUGUGCAAAUAAAAACGUGUGUAUCAAGUAUGACGUUCCCCCAACGUGGACACACUCGGUUCCUCACAAAGCCAAGCCCGCUGCAGCUGCCACAUCCCUGGACACACUCGGUUCCUCACAAAGCCAAGCUCGCUGCAGCUGCCACAUCCCUGGACACAUUCGGUUCCUCACAAAGCCAAGCCCGCGGCAGCUGCCACAUCCCUGGACACACUCGGUUCCUCACAAAGCCAAGCCCGCUGCAGCUGCCACAUCCCUGGGCUUGUGGUGCAGCAGGUGCUUUUCUCAAGACAGGAAUCAAAGUGUUAGGAACAUGGCAGAAAGGUGACACCUGGAGACCAAAUGCAGGAUGAGGAGUACUGCAGAGGUCACAGGGAAGUCACAGAACAGUAAUACGCUAGCAGGGACAUGGGGCGUGAAGAACAGAAGAAGACAGGAAGCAUUUCUGAGACUCCAAAGAAGAAAUCAGGGCCAACCACAGCUUCCCGGGUCAUUCACCAGGUGGCACCACUGCCGUCAUUUCAGCUUCUGGCCACUGGGAGGCGCUGCUUGAAAGGGUUUGCCCUGAGACUCCAAGAAGAAGCUGCGGGAAGGACAGCAGGGGCCCUGGGGUUUUAGCCUCUGGCCCAGGAGUUAUGUGUCCAUAACCAAAGGGAGCACAGUCUGCACCCAGCUCUCAUCCCAUCAGAGCUGCUGCGACUCCCGCAGGUUCUUCCGGAACUGGUUUAGCUUGCCUUCAGGAUCAGGAAAGUUUGAGAAAAGCAUCUGCAAAAUACUGAAGAGCAGAGCUUACCUCAUUGCCUGUCCCCACCCCAUCCCAGGUCACCACCUGGAUGACCCCAGCUCCCCGACCCAACAACAACCCCUCCCAAGUCCCUAGCUCCCUCACUUGGACUUGAGACCCUUCACACCCCAGCAGCGCUCCGCCUCCAUCUUGACAUGCUUUCUGGAAACUUCCCCGUAUGUCCCACUUUCCCACACUUGGUGCCCUGGAGCACCUUCCGGCCUCUACAUGAUGUACGUUCCCCUGUGAGCACCCUCCUCUCGGCCUCUGGCCAACACAGUCCCACCCAUCUGUGGGUAACAAGGGGGUGUUCUUUUCAGCCUUGCUAAACUGUCUGAAUCAAGGAUCACAAACUACAGCCUGCAGGCCAAAUCCAGCCCACAGCCUGUGUUUGUAAAUAAAGCUUUAUUGGAACAAAGCCACACCCCUUAAU